CCUUGGGCGCAUUCAGAAGGGCAGUUUGGGAAGUUGAUGCAAGAAGGAACCAGCUAUCAGAACCAAACCACCGGCCGGGACCAUAAGAUGAGUUUUUCAAGAAAGCCAAAUUCAAAGGAAUGGCGAUGGUGGCCAAUUUGCAGAUGAUUCCGCCUGAUUACCACCGUAGAAGCACCCAAUCGAUCGCCGCCUCUCCAACUGGGUUUCUGCCGGAGAUCAAGGGUUGGUUACUGCAUUCCCAAUAUUCAUAUGAUCAGUUUAUUUGGUUUUUAUGAUUAUAUGAUUGGAUGUAGCUUAAAUGAUUUGAUAUGGUAUAGUUUGGUUCGGGAAGAUAUCA